rnacentral:rRNA from 1 species
UGGGGAAUAUUGCACAAUGGAGGGAACUCUGAUGCAGCGACGCCGCGUGAACGAAGAAGGCUUUCGAGUCGUAAAGUUCUUUUAUAUGGGAAGAUAAUGACGGUACCAUAAGAAAAAGCCCCGGCUAACUACGUGCCAGCAGCCGCGGUAAUACGUAGGGGGCUAGCGUUGUCCGGAAUCACUCGGCGUAAAGGGUUCGCAGGCGGAAAUGCAAGUCAGGUGUAAAAGGCAGUAGCUUAACUACUGUAAGCAUUUGAAACUGCAUAUCUUGAGAAGAGUAGAGGUAAGUGGAAUUUUUAGUGUAGCGGUGAAAUGCGUAGAUAUUAAAAAGAAUACCGGUGGCGAAGGCGACUUACUGGGCUCAUUCUGACGCUGAGGAACGAAAGCGUGGGUAGCAAACAGG